GACGAACGCUGGCGGCGUGCUUAACACAUGCAAGUCGAACGGGUCUGCCCUGUUUUUUGCGGGGUGGGUCCGUGGCGAACGGGUGAGUAACACGUGAGUAACCUGCCCCUCACUUCUGGAUAACCGCUUGAAAGGGUGGCUAAUACGGGGUGUUCUGGCUGUGCCGCAUGGUGUGGCUGGGUAAGAUUCACUUUUGUGGUGUUUUGGUGGGGGAUGGGCUCGCGGCCUAUCAGCUUGUUGGUGGGGUGAUGGCCUGCCAAGGCUUUGACGGGUAGCCGGCCUGGGAGGGUGGGCGGUCACACUGGGACUGAGAUACGGCCCAGACUCCGGCGGGAGGCAGCAGGGGGGGGUAUUGCACAAUGGGCGGAAGCCUGAUGCAGCGACGUCGCGUGAGGGAUGGAGGCCUUCGGGUUGUGAACCUCUUUCGCCGGUGAAGAAGGUCCUGCUCUUUGUGGUGGGGUUGACGGUAGCCGGGUUAUGAAGCGCCGGCUAACUACGUG
rnacentral:rRNA from 1 species